GAGUUUGAUCCUGGCUCAGAUUGAACGCUGGCGGCAUGCCUUACACAUGCAAGUCGAACGGCAGCAUGAUCUAGCUUGCUAGAUUGAUGGCGAGUGGCGAACGGGUGAGUAAUACAUCGGAACGUGCCCUGUAGUGGGGGAUAACUAGUCGAAAGAUUAGCUAAUACCGCAUACGACCUGAGGGUGAAAGUGGGGGACCGCAAGGCCUCAUGCUAUAGGAGCGGCCGAUGUCUGAUUAGCUAGUUGGUGGGGUAAAGGCCCACCAAGGCGACGAUCAGUAGCUGGUCUGAGAGGACGAUCAGCCACACUGGGACUGAGACACGGCCCAGACUCCUACGGGAGGCAGCAGUGGGGAAUUUUGGACAAUGGGCGAAAGCCUGAUCCAGCAAUGCCGCGUGUGUGAAGAAGGCCUUCGGGUUGUAAAGCACUUUUGUCCGGAAAGAAAUGGCUCUGGUUAAUACCUGGGGUCGAUGACGGUACCGGAAGAAUAAGGACCGGCUAACUACGUGCCAGCAGCCGCGGUAAUACGUAGGGUCCAAGCGUUAAUCGGAAUUACUGGGCGUAAAGCGUGCGCAGGCGGUUGUGCAAGACCGAUGUGAAAUCCCCGAGCUUAACUUGGGAAUUGCAUUGGUGACUGCACGGCUAGAGUGUGUCAGAGGGGGGUAGAAUUCCACGUGUAGCAGUGAAAUGCGUAGAGAUGUGGAGGAAUACCGAUGG
rnacentral:rRNA from 1 species